GAUGAACGCUGGCGGCGUGCCUAAUACAUGCAAGUCGAGCGAACGGACGAUAAGCUUGCUUCUUUGAUGUUAGCGGCGGACGGGAGAGUAACACGUGGAUAACCUACCUAUAAGACUGGGAUCACUUCGGGACACCGGAGCUAAUACCGGAUAAUAUUUUGAACCGCAUGGGUCAAAGGUGAAAGACGGUCUUGCUGUCUCUUAUAGCUGGAUCCGGGCUGCAUUGGCUAGUUGUGAAGGUAACGGCCUACCAAGGCAACGAUGCGUAGCCGACCGGAGAGGGUGAUAGGCCACACGAGAACUGAGACACGGUCAAGACUCCUAAGGGAGGCAGCAGUAGGGAAUCUUACGCAAUGGGCGAAAGCCUUACGGAGCGACGGCGCGUGAGUGAUGAAGGUCUUCGGAGCGUAAAACUCUGUUAUUAGGGAAGAACAGAUGUGUAAGGAACUGUGCAGAUCGUGACGGUACCUAAUCAGAAAGCCACGGCUAACUACGUG
rnacentral:rRNA from 1 species